CCAAAUAUACAAGCGUCAGUGUCGGGAUCGAACCCAUGACCACCUGUAUACCAGGCGAAGUCGUUAACAUCUCCACCGCAGUUCACGCCCGGCGUCCGCCCUGGUAAAUCCCGAGGGUAUAUGAAGCAUAAUUGUGCAUUGUACCAGUCGUGGCGUCAUGGCUGGAAGGGAUGCUUCUCCGGCGUCAGCAUGGUGAAGUAUAGUCAAACGGCCUCCCAACUCCACUUCCCCCCCCCUCCCCGUCGCAGGGCGAAAGGAUUCAUCCAUCAGUGACUUAAAGGACUAUCAAUCAAUUAGUCGCAUAAUGCAUUGACAUGUAUAAAUGAAGGGGUAAGUGAGAAAAUAAUGAAAAAAACGUGAACAGCCACGUCAUGAGACCAAUGUUAAAAUGUGAACGUAGUUUAUUUGCUCUAAACAAAAAUCUGGUUUAUCAUUUUUAUCUGGAAGCCAAUGGGCUGAAGCACUAAACAAUGUUUUCAUUUAUACGUGGAAACAAGGCAAUUGUGGUUAUGUUUGCUUUUGCUGUGGACAAACGCCCGCUGCAUAAUGACAUCAAACUGGUAAUGAAAGUGGGGGGGGGGGGGGAUGAUGGUGGGGCCCAGGAAACUUGUACGUGGAGUAGGCAAGGUACAUGAAGACGUCUAUGAACAACUCUCAGGUAAUCGAUGCAUCCUCGUUAAUUACAAUAUAGAAACCCCUCGCCAACCGCGUUUUUAGUAUCCGCGGUAUUUGCAUUAUUUUCCUUGGGCAUACCAAUUUUAUAACUGCGGUAUGCAUAUUCUUUGGGUCUUUCGGUAAAGUCACGUAGAUAAUUUCAAAGAGAACAAAAAACACAACUACGACGUUUCGAUCGCAACACAAGUGUUCGUCAUCAGAAGAGGGAGUUUUGUGUAUCCGUGGUAUGGAGUUUUGUGUAUCAGUAUCAGCUGUAUGGGGUUUGCGUAUCUGUCGUAUGGAGUAUUGUGUAUUAGUAUCAGCUGUAUGAGGUUUUGUGUAUCAGUAUCAGCUGUAUGGGGUUUUGUGUAUCAGUAUCAGCUGUAUGAGGCUUUGUGUAUCAGUAUCAGCUGUAUGAGGUUUUGUGUAUCAGUAUCAGCUGUAUGAGGUUUUGUGUAUCAGUAUCAGCUGUAUGGGGUAUUGUGUAUCAGUAUCAGCUGUAUGAGGUUUUGUGUAUCAGUAUCAGCUGUAUGAGGUUUUGUGUAUCAGUAUCAGCUGUAUGAGGUUUAGUGUAUCAGUAUCAGCUGUAUGAGGUUUUGUGUAUCAGCUGUAUGCAUUUUUGUGUAUCCGUAUCAGCGGUAUGAGGUUUUGUGUAUCCGUGGUAUGAAAUUUUGUGUAUCAGUAUCAGCUGUAUGGGGUUUUGUGUAUCAGAAUCAGCUGUAUGAGGUUUUGUGUAUCAGUAUCAGCUGUAUGAGGUUUUGUGUAUCAGUAUCAGCUGUAUGAGUUUUUGUGUAUCAGUAUCAGCUGUAUGAGGUUUUGUGUAUCCGUGGUAUGAAGUUUUGUGUAUCAGUAUAAGCUGUAUGAGGUUUUGUGUAUCAGUAUCAGCUGUAUUGGUGUUUUGUGUAUCAGCUGUAUGAGGUUUUGUGUAUCCGUGGUAUGGGGUUUUGUGUAUCAGCUGUAUGGGGUUUUGUGUAUCAGUAUCAGCUGUAUGGGGUUUUGUGUAUCAGCUGUAUGAGGUUUUGUGUAUCAGUAUCAGCUGUAUGAGGUUUUGUGUAUCCGCGGUAUGGAGUUUUGUGUAUCAGUAUCAGCUGUAUGAGGUUUUGUGUAUCAGUAUCAGCUGUAUGAGGUUUUGUGUAUCAGUAUCAGCUGUAUGAGGUUUUGCGUAUCAGUAUCAGCUGUAUGAGGUUUUGUGUAUCAGUAUCAGCUGUAUGAGGUUUUGUGUAUCAGUAUCAGCUGUAUGAGGUUUUGUGUAUCAGUAUCAGCUGUAUGAGGUUUUGUGUAUCCGUGGUAUGGAGUUUUGUGUAUCAGUAUCAGCUGUAUGAGGUUUUGUGUAUCAGUAUCAGCUGUAUAAGGUUUUGUGUAUCCGUGGUAUGGAGUUUUGUGUAUCAGUAUCAGCUGUAUGAGGUUUUGUGUAUCCGUAGUAUGGAGUUUUGUGUAUCAGUAUCAGCUGUAUGAGGUUUUGUGUAUCAGUAUCAGCUGUAUGAAGUUUUGUGUAUCCGUGGUAUGGAGUUUUGUGUAUCAGUAUCAGCUGUAUGAGGUUUUGUGUAUCAGUAUCAGCUGUAGGAGGUUUUGUGUAUCCGUGGCAUGGAGUUUUGUGUAUCAGUAUCAGCUGUAUGAGGUUUUGUGUAUCCGUGGUAUGGAGUUUUGUGUAUCAGUAUCAGCUGUAUGAGGUUUUCUGUAUCAGUAUCAGCUGUAUAAGGUUUUGUGUAUCCGUGGUAUGGAGUUUUGUGUAUCAGUAUCAGCUGUAUGAGGUUUUGUGUAUCCGUAGUAUGGAGUUUUGUGUAUCAGUAUCAGCUGUAUGAGGUUUUGUGUAUCAGUAUCAGCUGUAUGAGGUUUUGUGUAUCCGUGGUAUGGAGUUUUGUGUAUCAGUAUCAGCUGUAUGAGGUUUUGUGUAUCCGUGGUAUGGAGUUUUGUGUAUCAGUAUCAGCUGUAUGAGGUUUUGUGUAUCCGUGGUAUGGAGUUUUGUGUAUCAGUAUCAGCUGUGUGAGGUUUUGUGUAUCAGUAUCAGCUGUAUGAGGUUUCGUGUGUCCGUGGUAUGGAGUUUUGUGUAUCAGUAUCAGCUGUAUGAGGUUUUGUGCAUCCGUGGUAUGGAGUUUUGUGUAUCAGUAUCAGCUGUAUGAGGUUUCGUGUAUCCGUGGUAUGGAGUUUUGUGUAUCAGUAUCAGCUGUAUGAGGUUUUGUGUAUCAGUAUCAGCUGUAUGAGGUUUUGUGUAUCCGUGGUAUGGAGUUUUGUGUAUCAGUAUCAGCUGUAUGAGGUUUUGUGUAUCCGUGGUAUGGAGUUUUGUGUAUCAGUAUCAGCUGUAUGAGGUUUUGUGUAUCCGUAGUAUGGAGUUUUGUGUAUCAGUAUCAGCUGUAUGAGGUUUUGUGUAUCAGUAUCAGCUGUAUGAGGUUUUGUGUAUCCGUGGUAUGGAGUUUUGUGUAUCAGUAUCAGCUGUAUGAGGUUUUGUGUAUCCGUGUUAUGGAGUUUUGUGUAUCAGUAUCAGCUGUAUGAGGUUUUGUGUAUCCGUGGUAUGGAGUUUUGUGUAUCAGUAUCAGCUGUGUGAGGUUUUGUGUAUCAGUAUCAGCUGUAUGAGGUUUCGUGUGUCCGUGGUAUGGAGUUUUGUGUAUCAGUAUCAGCUGUAUGAGGUUUUGUGCAUCCGUGGUAUGGAGUUUUGUGUAUCAGUAUCAGCUGUAUGAGGUUUCGUGUAUCCGUGGUAUGGAGUUUUGUGUAUCAGUAUCAGCUGUAUGAGGUUUUGUGUAUCAGUAUCAGCUGUAUGAGGUUUUGUGUAUCCGUGGUAUGGAGUUUUGUGUAUCAGUAUCAGCUGUAUGAGGUUUUGUGUAUCCGUGGUAUGGAGUUUUGUGUAUCAGUAUCAGCUGUGUGAGGUUUUGUGUAUCAGUAUCAGCUGUAUGAGGUUUCGUGUGUCCGUGGUAUGGAGUUUUGUGUAUCAGUAUCAGCUGUAUGAGGUUUUGUGUAUCCGUGGUAUGGAGUUUUGUGUAUCAGUAUCAGCUGUAUGAGGUUUUGUGUAUCAGUAUCAGCUGUAUGAGGUUUUGUGUAUCAGUAUCAGCUGUAUGAGGUUUUGUGUAUCAGUAUCAGCUGUAUGAGGUUUUGUGUAUCCGUGGCAUGGAGUUUUCUGUAUCAGUAUCAGCUGUAUGAGGUUUUGUGUAUCCGUGGUAUGGAGUUUUGUGUAUCAGUAUCAGCUGUGUGAGGUUUUGUGUAUCAGUAUCAGCUGUAUGAGGUUUCGUGUGUCCGUGGUAUGGAGUUUUGUGUAUCAGUAUCAGCUGUAUGAGGUUUUGUGUAUCCGUGGUAUGGAGUUUUGUGUAUCAGUAUCAGCUGUAUGAGGUUUCGUGUAUCCGUGGUAUGGAGUUUUGUGUAUCAGUAUCAGCUGUAUGAGGUUUUGUGUAUCAGUAUCAGCUGUAUGAGGUUUUGUGUAUCAGUAUCAGCUGUAUGAGGUUUUGUGUAUCAGUAUCAGCUGUAUGAGGUUUUGUGUAUCAGUAUCAGCUGUAUGAAGUUUUGUGUAUCCGUGGUAUGGAGUUUUGUGUAUCAGUAUCAGCUGUUUGAGGUUUUGUGUAUCCGCGGCUUGGCACGCCUUUCGGGCGCUCGUUAUUUCAAAAUCGCCCCGCAAUCCGCGUUCCCCUUCCUUGCACCGUCUCCAUCUCCCAGAUCCCACCACCACCAUCACUCGCUCGCUCGCUUGUUCGCACGGCGACUGUUUCUGUCUCGUGUGGACGCGGGGAAUCUCUUGGUCCGGUGUCGACACAGUCCGUGUCACCGCGGGCCGCUUUGCUUGAAUCGAUGCCGGUCAACUUCCAGAUUUUGUCACGUCCAAGUGCCCUCUGCCGUUCACAAUUCGGGUCAGUUUACGCCUUCAACAAUUCGGAUUGUUGCCGGCCGCUUGGCGUAUUUGACCCGGCCUCUCUAGCUCAAGGUUACUUCUCAGUCCGCCGAAGAGCCUGGCGUAGGAUGAAGUAGGAGUACAGGGUGCUUCAAAAAAGUGUUAACACUUACAUGGGACUCGUUUUUUAAGGAAUGGAUUAUCAUAUACCGUAAACAUGAUAACAAAUGUAUGUUGUUGAUAGCUCCACUCGUUCGCCAUCGUUGUCAACACGUGGCCUGGAACCUUCUCCAGGUCACGUGUUCGCCAUCGUUGUCAACACGUGGCCUUGAAUCUUCUCCAGGUGGUCUCUAAGAGCCUGGAGGCAGCAGCACAUGUCACGUGGUUUUGCAAAUUCUCAGAAGCUUUAUAAAAUGUUUACGCACAGAAACCGUCUUUUUUGUUGUUACAAACGACGACACGUUUUAUGAUACCCGCACAUCAGCCGGGGGUGCAAAGCUCAGAAUGUCACGCUCAUCGCUGCACCACCGCUCCCUCCGCGCGGCGUGGUGGAGAGAUAAGCGGCGUGCGUGUGACACGCGGGGUGUGUGUGGUGUGUGUGUGGUGUGUGUAGUG